CAGCAGGCCACCAUCACCACUACCACCAGCAGCAGCAGCAACGCAGGCACGCUCCAUCCACUCGUCAUUCCUCCGCCCUGUUGCUCGCCUCCACCACCCUGCUCCCGACCUCGCUCCGCCACCAAACCCUAGCCUACCUGCCUUUCCCACAAUCCCACCCCCUCCCCCCCCCCCCCGACCCGAGGGCGACUCGCCCGCCAUUUUCUCCGCCCGAUUUUUCGGACAAGUGAUCGACCUCGCUUCCGACUUCUUCCCGCUCGGCCGGCGGGGGGUGGGGAGUACCAGGCCACUGCCGGCGACGCUAUCUUUUCUUCUUCUCGCUCUUCCAGGCAGACAGGCUUGCCGGCCGGCGGCUGAGUGAGGACAAAUAAAAGAGGCUUCCCCCACCCCGGUGCCGUCGCGGAGCGCCUUGAUUCGUGCUCAUGCCGGGGGCGCCGCUC
rnacentral:lncRNA from 7 species